GGCCAGGAAGUUGCAAUUGGUAUAGGCGUCUUCCCGGUCAGGUGAAGGUUGUGGGUUCAAUUCCCAUUUCUGGCCC
rnacentral:tRNA from 1 species